rnacentral:rRNA from 1 species
GACGAACGCUGGCGGCGUGCCUAAUACAUGCAAGUCGAGCGAGUGUCGGACGGGUGAGUAAUGUCUGGUAAAAUGCCCGAUUGAUUGUGAUAACUACUGGACACAGUAGCUAAUACCGCAUACCAUCGGAUGUGACCAGAUGGGAUUAGCUAGUAGGUGGGGUAACGGCUCACUUAUGAGACGAUCCCUCGCUGGUCUGAGAGGAUGACCAGCCACAAUGGAACUGAGAAACGGUGCAGAAUCGUAAGGGAGGCAGUAGUGGGGAAUAUUGCACAAUGGGCGCAAGCCUGAGGCAGCCAUGCCGCGUGUAUGAAGAAGGCCUUCGGGUUGUAAAGGACUUUCAGCGAGGAGGCGUUACUCGCAGAAGAAGCACCGGCUAACUCCGUGCCAGCAGCCGCGGUAAUUC